rnacentral:rRNA from 1 species
AGCAGCCGCGGUAAUUCCAGCUCCAAUAGCGUAUAUUAAAGUUGUUGCAGUUAAAAAGCUCGUAGUUGAAUUUCGGAAUCUGUCCAUCGGUCGGGCUUCACUGUCCGUACUGGUGUGGUGGGUUCUUACCUUCUGAAUAACCAGCAUGCCAUUAAUUUGGUGCGUUGGGGAAGCAGGACUAUUACCUUGAAAAAUUAGAGUGCUCAAAGCAGGCCAGUGCCUGAAUAUAUUAGCAUGGAAUAAUAAAAUAGGACGGCAUGGUUCUAUUUUGUUGGUUUCUAGGAUCACCGUAAUGAUUAAUAGGGAUAGUUGGGGGCAUUAGUAUUCAAUUGUCAGAGGUGAAAUUCUUGGAUUUAUUGAAGACUAACUUCUGCGAAAGCAUUUGCCAAGGAUGUUUUCAUUAAUCAAGAACGAAAGUUAGGGGAUCGAAGACGAUCAGAUACCGUCGUAGUCUUAACCAUAAACUAUGCCGACUAGGGAUCGGACGAUGUUAAUUUUAAUGACUCGUUCGGCGCCUUAA